CCCUCGAACCUCAACGCUAUGGAUUUUUAUCUGGAGCUAUCUAAGAUAGACAUUCUUCAUUCAAAGAAAUUCGUCAAAGUGUUGUGGAAAACUGUAAUUGUAGUUUACGCAAUUCAAUGGUCUUUGAAAGUUUGCAAGAGUUCAUGCUCCGAUGAGUGUAUGCAUGCAUAUAGGUAAUAAGACGAAGAUAUUAUGGACUUACGCUUAUCAUUUUGUGCACUGAAAACUUUGAAGAAUGUUGUAUCGGUAACAACAGAUGGAUUGAGAUACAAAUCUUGAGUGGCAUAACUUAAGUUGAACAAAUGUGUGUUGAAAGUUACAUCCCCUGAAUUGUUGGUGUAGGGCAUAACCUGCCCAGUAUUCAUAGAGUUGCACGAGAUAAACCUCCUACAGCCUCACUAAAUAGGUAUGUAGAACUGACACUUAGCCCAGGAAUAAAACAUAACAGUCUUUUGUGUUCCCAGUUUGACGCAUUGUCAAGUUAUUGUUCAGAUCUUUGCAGAUUUUAGUAAUUUUAUUUCAAUGUUGACAAAAAGUUUGUGCCAUUUUGUGUUUUGUUUGUGAAACAGGAAGUAUGGCACAUUAUGGUGCAUUCAGGCCCAUAGGUAAAGUGACUGUAUAAAAUGGCCACAUCUUCCAGCAUCUACUACAGUUACUCUGCCCUGUAGAAUUCCAUGUAGUCUCAGCAAGCUGCUAUGUAUCUGGAAGGCACAGUAAAGAGGAGUGUCCUCUUGGAAACUGGUAACAUAUAUACUAAGAGCCGUGUUUGUGUCAUGCUGGUGAGAGAGGAGAGUAGUGUCCAGGAAACUGGUAACUGACUCCACACACUGCGGUGUUGGAAAGGCCUGCUUUUUUGUGGCUCGAUAAGGACGUGUAUGAAGAAAUGACAGAGAAAAGAUUGGGGGAUUGUAUUUAUGCACUCUUCUGGAAAGCUUCACAUAUAUCUUCAUUGUGGAACAGUCAUGAAAUUACCACUGAUACAAAGGAAACUGAAUAACUUACUGUGAACAGAAUGACAAUGAAACCAAUCUAAAUUAUGUAGUGUUUGUAAAGACCACAGUAUUUCUGAUCAUGUUCAGGGACAUAAUGAAAAAACAGAAGAAACCAGUGACACAAAAUCACAGACUAUCAUAUGUGGAAAUGCGUAACAAUCCUGCACUGAAUAAAAAAAGUCUGUAUUCCAGAUUCCAAAGACAGGGUAACUCCCCAUUUCGCCACCUCUUAGGGUGACUGUGUUCACAGUCUGCAAUUACAGCACUUUCAAAAACAUGGCCACUUAGAUGUAGGAAGCUCGUUUUUAUUUACCAUUUACUUCAAAUAAGCUGAUUCAUAAUGUUCAUCAUCGAUCAAUACAUAUAAAUAUUGGGCCGUACAUGUGGGACUGCAUGAUGAGCUCUUGCUGUGUUGUAUAGCAGGUGUACGUACAACCAUCAGUCUCGUAGAAGUGUUUAUUUACUGUAUUUUUGUAAGUAGUAACAGCAUUUUGGUUGGCAUGAUCAAUGGUGGAAAUCUUAAACAAGAAAAAAAAUCUAUGUAAUGUCCUGCUGGUUCUUUACUGUGAUAUUGAGUGGUGAAGUAAAAUCUGAUAGGAAGCAAAGACUUCCUAUUAUUCAGUCUUGCUCACCUUACUAUUUUGGCAACCUCACCCACUUCCGACUGAACAUUUUCUCAGAGUGCUGCAGUUACUGCUAGAAGUUAAAACUGCAAAUACAACAUCCAGUUCUCAAAAUAAAUACGAUACUUCUGUUAAACAA